rnacentral:rRNA from 1 species
AAGUCGUAACAAGGUUUCCGUAGGUGAACCUGCGGAAGGAUCAUUACUGAGUGAGGGCCCUCUGGGUCCAACCUCCCACCCGUGUUUAUUGUACCUUGUUACUUCGGUGCGCCCGCCUCACGGCCGCCGGGGGGCUUCUGCCCCCGGGUCCGCGCGCACCGGAGACACUAUUGAACUCUGUCUGAAGAUUGCAGUCUGAGCAUAAACUAAAUAAGUUAAAACUUUCAACAACGGAUCUCUUGGUUCCGGCAUCGAUGAAGAACGCAGCGAAAUGCGAUAACUAAUGUGAAUUGCAGAAUUCAGUGAAUCAUCGAGUCUUUGAACGCACAUUGCGCCCCCUGGUAUUCCGGGGGGCAUGCCUGUCCGAGCGUCGUUGCUGCCCUCAAGCACGGCUUGUGUGUUGGGCUCCGUCCCCCCGGGGACGGGUCCGAAAGGCAGCGGCGGCACCGAGUCCGGUCCUCGAGCGUAUGGGGCUUUGUCACCCGCUCUGUAGGCCCGGCCGGCGCCAGCCGACAACCAACCAUCCUUUUUUCAGGUUGACCUCGGAUCAGGUAGGGAUACCCGCUGAACUUAA